AUUGAACGCUGGCGGCAGGCCUAACACAUGCAAGUCGAGCGGAUGAAGGGAGCUUGCUCCUGGAUUCAGCGGCGGACGGGUGUGUAAUGCCUAGGAAUCUGCCUGGUAGUGGGGGAUAACGUCCGGAAACGGGCGCUAAUACCGCAUACGUCCUGCGGGAGAAAGUGGGGGAUCUUCGGACCUCACGCUAUCAUAUGAGCCUAGGUCGGAUUAGCUAGUUGGUGGGGUAAAGGCCUACCAAGGCGACGAUCCGUAACUGGUCUGAGAGGAUGAUCAGUCACACUGGAACUGAGACACGGUCCAGACUACUACGGGAGGCAGCAGUGGGGAAUAUUGGACAGUGGGCGAAAGCCUGAUCCAGCCAUGCCGCGUGUGUGAAGAAGGUCUUCGGAUUGUAAAGCACUUUAAGUUGGGAGGAAGGGCAGUAAGUUAAUACCUUGCUGUUUUGACGGUACCAACAGAAUAAGCACCGGCUAACUUCGUG
rnacentral:rRNA from 1 species